UAUUCCCCAGUGCUCUGAAUGUCAAAGUGAUGAAAUCCACAAAAUCCUGGUUAAACGGCGGGAGUGACUAUGACUCUCUAAAGGUAGCCAAAGGCCUCGUCAUCUAAUUAGUGACGAGAACGAACGGA
rfam:Symbiodinium microadriaticum strain CCMP2467 Smic.scaffold749, whole genome shotgun sequence.